rnacentral:miRNA from 1 species
UGGGGUAGUAGUGUCUU